rnacentral:rRNA from 1 species
CAGUCGCCACGGGAAUACGAAGGGAGCUAGCGUUGCUCGGAAUUACUGGGCGUAAAGGGAGCGUAGGCGGAUCAAUUAGUCAGGGGUGAAAUCCCGGGGCCCAACCUCGGAACUGCCUUUGAUACUGUCGAUCUUGAGUAUGGGAGAGGUGUGUGGAACUCCGAGUGUAGAGGUGAAAUUCGUAGAUAUUCGGAAGAACACCAGUGGCGAAGGCGACACACUGGCCCAUUACUGACGCUGAGGCUCGAAAGCGUGGGGAGCAAACAGGAUUAGAUAUCCGCGUAGUCCCUGUCUCUUAUAC